rnacentral:tRNA from 1 species
AUAUUUUAAGAAAAAUUUCACCUUAAUAUCUUCAAUAUUAAACUCUUAUUAAGCUAUUAAAAUA